AGAACGAACGCUGGCGGCAGGCUUAACACAUGCAAGUCGAGCGCCCCGCAAGGGGAGCGGCAGACGGGUGAGUAACGCGUGGGAAUCUACCCAUCACUACGGAACAACUCCGGGAAACUGGAGCUAAUACCGUAUACGUCCUUCGGAGAAGAUUAUCGGUGAUGGAUGAGCCCGCGUUGGAUUAGCUAGUUGGUGGGGUAAUGGCCUACCAAGGCGACGAUCCAUAGCUGGUCUGAGAGGAUGAUCAGCCACAUUGGGACUGAGACACGGCCAAACUCCUACGGGAGGCAGCAGUGGGAAUAUUGGACAAUGGGCGAAAGCCUGAUCCAGCCAUGCCGCGUGAGUGAUGAAGGCCCUAGGGUGUAAGCUUCUUCACGGUAGAAGGUAAUAGACGGUAACCGUAGAAGAACGCCCGACGUAACUCGU
rnacentral:rRNA from 1 species